CGGGUACCACAUUCCACAUUACAUUUUUUAUUAUCUCUCCUUCUGAUCAUAAUGCUGCGAUUACCGUAUCUUCGAAUGGCUCGCAGUGUUUCGGUAUCCGUCUGGACAAACCAUCCGCAUGCCCUAGUUUCUUUGAAGGUAAAUUACUUAAGAAAAGAAG